UACGUAGGGGGCGAGCGUUAUCCAGAUUUACUGGGCGUAAAGCGCGUGUAGGCGGCUGGUUAGGUGUGAUGUGAAAUCCUCGGGCUCAACCCGAGAACUGCAUUGCAAACCGGCCUGGCUAGAGUGCAGGAGAGGGAAGCGGAAUUCCAGGUGUAGCGGUGAAAUGCGUAGAUAUUGGGAGGAACACCAGUGGCGAAGGCGGUCCCCUGGGCCGGAACUGACGCUGAGGCGCGAAAGCGUGGGUAGCAAACGGG
rnacentral:rRNA from 1 species